AUGAACGCUGGCGGCGUGCCUAAUACAUGCAAGUCGAGCGAACAGACGAGGAGCUUGCUCCUCUGACGUUAGCGGCGGACGGGUGAGUAACACGUGGAUAACCUACCUAUAAGACUGGGAUAACUUCGGGAAACCGGAGCUAAUACCGGAUAAUAUAUUGAACCGCAUGGUUCAAUAGUGAAAGACGGUUUUGCUGUCACUUAUAGAUGGAUCCGCGCCGCAUUAGCUAGUUGGUAAGGUAACGGCUUACCAAGGCAACGAUGCGUAGCCGACCUGAGAGGGUGAUCGGCCACACUGGAACUGAGACACGGUCCAGACUCCUACGGGAGGCAGCAGUAGGGAAUCUUCCGCAAUGGGCGAAAGCCUGACGGAGCAACGCCGCGUGAGUGAUGAAGGUCUUCGGAUCGUAAAACUCUGUUAUUAGGGAAGAACAAAUGUGUAAGUAACGAUGCACGUCUUGACGGUACCUAAGCAGAAAGCCACGGCUAACUACGU
rnacentral:rRNA from 1 species